CAGUAGCCGCGGUAACACGAAGGGUGCAAGCGUUACUCGGAAUUACUGGGCGUAAGGCGUGCGUAGGUGGUGGUUUAAGUCCGUUGUGAAAGCCCUGGGCUCAACCUGGGAAUUGCAGUGGAUACUGGGUCACUAGAGUGUGGCAGAGGAUAGUGGAAUUUCCGGUGUAGCAGUGAAAUGCGUAGAGAUCGGAAGGAACAUCUGUGGCGAAGGCGACUAUCUGGGCCAACACUGACACUGAGGCACGAAAGCGUGGGGAGCAAACAGGAUUAGAUACCCCAGUAGUCCCUGUCUCUUAUAC
rnacentral:rRNA from 1 species